CGAAGAACCUUACCUACCCUUGACAUCCAGAGGAUUUUCCAGAGAUGGAUUAGUGCCUUCGGGAACUCUGAGACAGGUGCUGCAUGGCUGUCGUCAGCUCGUGUUGUGAAAUGUUGGGUUAAGUCCCGUAACGAGCGCAACCCCUAUCCUUAUUUGCCAGCGAUUCGGUCGGGAACUCUAAGGAGACUGCCGGUGACAAACCGGAGGAAGGUGGGGGAUGACGUCAAGUCAUCAUGGCCCUUACGGGUAGGGCUACACACGUGCUACAAUGGGGAGUACAGAGGGAUGCGAAGCGGCGACGUGAAGCCAAUCCCAAAAAGCUCUCCUCAGUCCGGAUUGGAGUCUGCAACUCGACUCCAUGAAGUCGGAAUCGCUAGUAAUCGCGAAUCAGAAUGUCGCGGUGAAUACGUUCCCGGGCCUUGUACACACCGCCCGUCACACCAUGGGAGUGGAUUGCACCAGAAGUGGCUAGUUUAACCUUCGGGGGAACGGUUACCACGGUGUGGUUCAUGACUGGGGUGAAGUCGUAACAAGGUAAGCGUAGCGAG
rnacentral:rRNA from 1 species